rnacentral:rRNA from 1 species
UAAGGAAUAUUGGUCAAUGGACGCAAGUCUGAACCAGCCAUGCCGCGUGAAGGAUGAAGGUCCUCUGGAUUGUAAACUUCUUUUAUCUGGGACGAAAACGGGAUUUUUAUCUCAAUUGACGGUACCAGAGGAAUAAGCACCGGCUAACUCCGUGCCAGCAGCCGCGGUAAUACGGAGGGUGCGAGCGUUAUCCGGAUUUACUGGGUUUAAAGGGUGCGUAGGUGGGCUUAUAAGUCAGUGGUGAAAUCUCCGAGCUUAACUUGGAAACUGCCGGUGAUACUCUAGGUCUUGAAUUAUCUGGAGGUAAGCGGAAUAUCGCAUGUAGCGGUGAUAUGCUUAGAUAUGACAGAGAAAACCAAUUGCGAAGGCAGCUUACUACAUAUAAAUUGACGCUGAGGCACGAAAGCGUGGG